GACGAACGCUGGCGGCGUGCUUAACACAUGCAAGUCGAACGGAAAGGCCCUGCUUUUGCGGGGUGCUCGAGUGGCGAACGGGUGAGUAACACGUGAGUAACCUGCCCUUGACUUUGGGAUAACUUCAGGAAACUGGGGCUAAUACCGGAUAGGAGCUCCUGCUGCAUGGUGGGGGUUGGAAAGUUUCGGCGGUUGGGGAUGGACUCGCGGCUUAUCAGCUUGUUGGUGGGGUAGUGGCUUACCAAGGCUUUGACGGGUAGCCGGCCUGAGAGGGUGACCGGCCACAUUGGGACUGAGAUACGGCCCAGACUCCUACGGGAGGCAGCAGUGGGGAAUAUUGCACAAUGGGCGGAAGCCUGAUGCAGCAACGCCGCGUGCGGGAUGACGGCCUUCGGGUUGUAAACCGCUUUCGCCUGUGACGAAGCGUGAGUGACGGUAAUGGGUAAAGAAGCACCGGCUAACUACGUGCCAGCAGCCGCGGUGAUACGUAGGGUGCGAGCGUUGUCCGGAUUUAUUGGGCGUAAAGGGCUCAUAGGUGGUUGAUCGCGUCGGAAGUGUAAUCUUGGGGCUUAACCCUGAGCGUGCUUUCGAUACGGGUUGACUUGAGGAAGGUAGGGGAGAAUGGAAUUCCUGGUGGAGCGGUGGAAUGCGCAGAUAUCAGGAGGAACACCAGUGGCGAAGGCGGUUCUCUGGGCCUUUCCUGACGCUGAGGAGCGAAAGCGUGGGGAGCGAACAGGCUUAGAUACCCUGGUAGUCCACGCUGUAAACGGUGGGUACUAGGUGUGGGGUCCAUUCCACGGGUUCCGUGCCGUAGCUAACGCUUUAAGUACCCCGCCUGGGGAGUACGGCCGCAAGGCUAAAACUCAAAGGAAUUGACGGGGCCCCGCACAAGCGGCGGAGCAUGCGGAUUAAUUCGAUGCAACGCGUAGAACCUUACCUGGGUUUGACAUGGAUCGGGAGUGCUCAGAGAUGGGUGUGCCUCUUUUGGGGUCGGUUCACAGGUGGUGCAUGGCUGUCGUCAGCUCGUGUCGUGAGAUGUUGGGUUAAGUCCCGCAACGAGCGCAACCCUUGUUCACUGUUGCCAGCACGUUAUGGUGGGGACUCAGUGGAGACCGCCGGGGUCAACUCGGAGGAAGGUGGGGAUGACGUCAAGUCAUCAUGCCCCUUAUGUCCAGGGCUUCACGCAUGCUACAAUGGCUGGUACAGAGAGUGGCGAGCCUGUGAGGGUGAGCGAAUCUCGGAAAGCCGGUCCCAGUUCGGAUUGGGGUCUGCAACUCGACCUCAUGAAGUCGGAGUCGCUAGUAAUCGCAGAUCAGCAACGCUGCGGUGAAUACGUUCCCGGGGCU
rnacentral:rRNA from 1 species